UACGUAGGGGGCAAGCGUUAUCCGGAUUUACUGGGUGUAAAGGGGGCGUAGACGGCAGAGCAAGUCUGAAGUGAAAGCCCGCGGCCCAACUGCGGGACUGCUUUGGAAACUGCCCGGCUAGAGUGCUGGAGAGGUAAGCGGAAUUCCUAGUGUAGCGGUGAAAUGCGUAGAUAUUAGGAGGAACACCAGUGGCAAAGGCGGCUUACUGGACAGUAACUGACGUUGAGGCUCGAAAGCGUGGGGAGCAAACAGG
rnacentral:rRNA from 1 species